rnacentral:tRNA from 1 species
GGAGGGCUGGUCAGAACGGUAAUGCGGCGGUCUUGAAAACCGCUGGGAGCAAUCCCUUAGAGGUUCGAAUCCUCUGCCCUCCG